UACGGAGGGUGCAAGCGUUAAUCGGAAUUACUGGGCGUAAAGCGUGCGUAGGCGGUUCGUUAAGUCUGUCGUGAAAUCCCCGGGCUCAACCUGGGAAUGGCGAUGGAUACUGGCGAGCUAGAGUGUGUCAGAGGAUGGUGGAAUUCCCGGUGUAGCGGUGAAAUGCGUAGAGAUCGGGAGGAACAUCAGUGGCGAAGGCGGCCAUCUGGGACAACACUGACGCUGAGGCACGAAAGCGUGGGGAGCAAACAGG
rnacentral:rRNA from 1 species